rnacentral:rRNA from 1 species
AGAGUUUGAUCCUGGCUCAGGACGAACGCUGGCGGCGCGCUUAACACAUGCAAGUCGAGCGAGAACCUGUCCUUCGGGACGGGGGACAGCGGCGAACGGGUGAGUAACACGUGGGUAAUCAACCCCUGGCUCCGGGAUAGCCCGAGGAAACUCGGAUUAAUACCGGAUGGCCCAACAGCUCUUCGGGGCGGUUGGAAAAGGUAGCUUCGGCCUCCGGCCAAGGACGAGCCCGCGGCGGAUUAGCUUGUUGGUGGGGUAACGGCCUACCAAGGCGACGAUCCGUAGCUGGUCUGAGAGGACGAUCAGCCACACUGGGACUGAGACACGGCCCAGACUCCUACGGGAGGCAGCAGUGGGGAAUCUUGCACAAUGGGCGGAAGCCUGAUGCAGCGACGCCGCGUGAGGGAAGAAGGCUUUCGGGUUGUAAACCUCUUUCAGGAGGGACGAAGCUCCUCGGGUUAAUAGCCCAGAGGGUGACGGUACCUCCAGAAGAAGCCCCGGCUAACUACGUGCCAGCAGCCGCGGUAAUACGUAGGGGGCAAGCGUUGUCCGGAUUUAUUGGGCGUAAAGAGCGUGUAGGCGGCCAGAUAGGUCUGUUGUGAAAACUCGAGGCUCAACCUCGAGACGCCGAUGGAAACCAUCUGGCUAGAGUCCGGAAGAGGAGAGUGGAAUUCCUGGUGUAGCGGUGAAAUGCGCAGAUAUCAGGAAGAACACCCGUGGCUAAGGCGGCUCUCUAGUACGGUACUGACGCUGAGACGCGAAAGCGUGGGGAGCGAACAGGAUUAGAUACCCUAGUAGUCC